rnacentral:rRNA from 1 species
GACGAACGCUGGCGGCGUGCUUAACACAUGCAAGUCGAACGGAAAGGCCCUGCUUUUGUGGGGUGCUCGAGUGGCGAACGGGUGAGUAACACGUGAGUAACCUGCCCUUGACUUUGGGAUAACUUCAGGAAACUGGGGCUAAUACCGGAUAGGAGCUCCUGCUGCAUGGUGGGGGUUGGAAAGUUUCGGCGGUUGGGGAUGGACUCGCGGCUUAUCAGCUUGUUGGUGGGGUAGUGGCUUACCAAGGCUUUGACGGGUAGCCGGCCUGAGAGGGUGACCGGCCACAUUGGGACUGAGAUACGGCCCAGACUCCUACGGGAGGCAGCAGGGGGGAAUAUUGCACAAUGGGCGGAAGCCUGGUGCAGCAACGCCGCGUGCGGGAUGACGGCCUUCGGGUUGUAAACCGCUUUCGCCUGUGACGAAGCGUGAGUGACGGUAAUGGGUAAAGAAGCACCGGCUAACUACGUG